CGUCCAAGUAUACGAGUAUAACGCCUUGUACACGCUCUGCACUCGCUAUAUAUAUAUAUAUUACUGCCUGCAAUGUAUUUCACUUUAAUCUUUUCAGAUGCACGAUAAGGAUUAUGUGACACAGCUUGUCUGAAAGUAAGACUUUCGAAAGCAAAAACUCUGUCAAGUUUGGUCAUUGGUGCGUAUGUACGAACUGUUUUCUACGUUUGGCAAGGAGGUUGGUAUAGACGCUGGAAGAACCAAACAAAGGAAAUUGCUGACUUUGAAUGCACAUCACUGGCAGUAGAUUUAGUUCGGAUUAUAGAAGAUGUUCUCAUAUCUGCAAGAAGAUUUCAGAAUCAAUAGUGCUGAGGCAGAAACGAAACAGUCACUGCUUAGCAUUGGGAUUAUUAUUCUGCUUAUUUCCGAAGUGUCUUACUUAUGUUUCAAUUGGAUUAAACCAGCAUACUUAGAUAAUAGCAACAAUUUUUUGUGUGACUGUGGCAAGUUGUAUCUACAAACCAUAUCCACUUUUGUAUAAUCAUAUUUCCAAAAACAGAUGCUUGCGAUUAUACAUUCCCUUCCUAUACUACCUGUAUAUAGACAACUUUGUGCUGGUGAGUACGUCCAUAUACAUAUAUUCAUUUCACUUUAUUAUAAUGAUUAUGCACAUUUGCGUUUUCCUUUUUCAACGCCAUCUUUAUAAUGUUGGGUUAUUAAAAGUGAACUACAAUUUAUUGAAAGCCAUAAAUUUGUCUUGCUGGUCGUAUUAUUCAUGCAACCUCACAAAAUAUAUUUUGCAGCAACUACCAAAGUUCUAUAGCCAACAACAGCAAUAAUGACUUACAACUCUUCAAGAAACAAAAGGCAAUAUGUACGCGUACAUACAGACAGACAUUCAAACAAUACAGACAUAUACGAAAACAAAGCUGUCGGGACGUCGAGUACUGACAUAAAACUUGAAUGAUACUUAUACGAAAAUUUUAAGUGUAGUUGGAAACAUAAUAAAACAUUUUAUUUUUGCUCAAUAAAACUGAAAACCUGUAGAUCGACAAACUGCUGAAUCGUCGCAACGAUACUAUCGACCCUGCGCUGUGUUGGCAGCUGCGCCGUAAAAGUACACCGCGAGUCACACCAUAUUUCUUCGCGAGUGCUUCAGUGGUUUAGCCUGCUACGAGUAUUACUACCGGCGACUUUAUCGAUAGAUCUAAACGAGCAACGUACAUCGAUGUCUGCAGAUAAAACGAAACGUUUUUGUCGGCAACCACCCGGGGCUGUAUUGUUAUAUGAACUUAUAUUAGGUUAUAGAGCAACUACGGUUCACCGUUUACUAUCGCUGCGACCAGGUGCAAUUUGGAUCGCAAGUCAAAUAAUUACUAUAUUGACUAGUAGCUUAUUGAUUGAUAUAGAGAUGAUAUAGAGAUUCGAUUAUUUUUGUUCAAUUAACGCAUUAAACAAUUAGUAAUUGUGUUUUAUUUAUUUGGUGAUAAUUUAAUUAAUUUUGUUCAUUUCAUAAAUAUAAAAAAUCUCUCGACAAUAUGUCGAAAUGUUUUAUCGAUAACAUCCACCAUCCAUUCCCAUUAUAUAUUCCUUUUAAUGUUACGUAUACUCAAUAAUUGAACUCCUUAACACUUGAAAGUCAUUUUUGAAAAGUGAUGCAAUUAAGAUGCUAUGUGUUCUCAAGGAAUUACAGAAAAAAUACUUUUGAAUUUCUCAGUAUGACUGAAAGGUUUCGUGCUUUUUGGCUACAUAAGUUUCAAAUUUUAAGACACGAUCAUUCAUUUGAACCGCCUUAUCAUACUACUAGACAUCCAACUGAUGCUUAUCCCUCACAAUACCACUUGUCAGUGGUUUCGUGUUACACGUUCCAUAUUUUCUUAAUACACAUGAACCUAUCGCACACUUAUAGCAGUACCACUUAACUUCUCGCAGUGCAACACGAAUAUCGUGCCAGUGCCUCGUGUACGAUGGCCGGUCACGUUUCUAAUUCCACUGCCGCUACUGUGAUGAUGCGUGCAGGGAUGCAUGUAUACGAGCUUACUUGCAUAAGACGAGCAAAAAUUAUUAAAUAUACAGAUAUUUUUGUAUGUGCAGUUGUAUUUUACAUAAAUAAAACAGGGUUUGGGAAUUUGUAGAGAAAGUUGUCGAGGAGCGUAUGAUAUUAAUAUUUAUUGCUUACGCUCAAGGUGACCUAUGGUGACCAAAGUGCAGAUAAAACCUUUUAAGAACUUUAAUUUAUUAAAAUGUUAAUCUAGUAGACUCUGUGUAAUGCUAAAGGGAAUGCAGAUUAUGUUCACUAAUUUUUAUUAAAACAAGAUGAAAACAAUAACUGACUACUCUAUAUUUCUUCAUAUCGAUUCUUGAUCUAUUAUUUUACUGCAAUUGGAAAAAACUGGACCAACAAGACGACCACUACUCGUUCCAACUAUGGUAGUGAAAUUUAUAUUUGGUUGUAGUAUUAAAAAUAUUCAUCCGAUUUAUUAAUACAUAUAUGUAUAUAUUCAUAUAAAGUGAUCGUUAUAUUUUAUACCUAAAUUUCAUUGUAUUAUGCAAGUUGUUGCAUUGCAUAUAAGUAAAACCAACAAAUUUUUAAAAAUUAUAAACCAAAAUUAUUUGUUCCAACUGGCAACCGCAACAAAUAUGACAUAACCACUGUAAAAGCCACAGUGGUUCGAGAAACGGGAAGGACAAAUGGGAAAUUUGUGGGCACUGUUUGCGGUAAAUUCCAUUUAAAUAAUUUUUUAUUUAUGUGCAAAUACUUAUAUACAUUUCAAUAGAAGUUUUUAUUUACUAUAUAUUACAUAAACAUAAAAGGAAACCACUAGUUCUUAUUGAGUGGUUCCCAUUAAAAUUUUUACAUGUCUGCGUUCACUCAUUGUGAAACCUUAACCACAUAAACGAAGUUCUAAGAAAUUAUCUGUUAUUUUUCUCAGAAUAUAAAUCUACAAAACAAUAUUACACACAUACA